rnacentral:piRNA from 1 species
UACACACAGCCAAAUAAAGCCUAACUUGAC